AGUGGAAGCUUGCGGUGGCUCUCCAGUGACCAGAGGCAUAGUGAGGUCCCAGGGAGGCUCCCUCUGUCUUGCAACAGUUAUUUGUGAUCUUUUUCUAUGUGCCUAUUGUCACAACAGAGUCCGGCAGCGUCUUCUCUUGAGGGAGCAAUUUGGAGAAGAGCUGGAACCCAGACUCGCGCCCUGGAUGCCAUCCUUUAUCAUCCACAGCAAUCCCAUCUGCCCUUCAGAUAUUUCAACACUCCUCUCAGCAUCCUCCACUUCCCCCAUCUCUCCAAGCUGAACUUGGUUCACAGGGUGGGAUUGUGUAUGUGCAUGCAGGAGGUGGGGGUGGACAGUGCCCUGGGCUGGAAUCCCCCUUAGUUCUAAGUGCCUCCUUGCCCGCAGCUUCGAGAGCUGUGCCCAGGAGUGAACAACCAGCCCUAUCUCUGUGAGAGUGGUCACUGCUGCGGGGAGACUGGCUGCUGCACCUACUACUAUGAGCUCUGGUGU
rnacentral:sRNA from 1 species